GAAGGUUCGGAGAGGCCCAGGGCUGCGCUUCCCGGCUUGAGGGGUCCCAGGAGUGAGCGGGAUCGAGAGUGAUCUGUGCAGAGAGGGAGUCUGCGGACCGGGCCAGAGGCUCAGGUUGUUCGGAUGCUGGCGGGACUCGCGUCAGCAUUCGGCCCCAGAGCCCGCGUGAGGGGCGGCGGGUCCUGAAGGACCAACCUCCUGCACGUGAGGGUGUCGUGACUGAGAGGGGCCUGGGCAGUGGGCAUUUUCGGGUGCUGUGCAGCAAGGGGACCGGGGGAGUCCGUCGAGGGCAGAAGAGCGGAAGGCGCUGGUGGCAGACCGAGUCUGGCAGGGACUGUGCUUGUGCAAGGCAGCUGGCCACUGUCAGGCCUAGGACGACGGCCAGAGCGUGGGAGAGACGACAAAGUGCCCCCUCAGCCUGGGAGCGUCGGGGCCUUUGAGCGCCCGCGUCCUCCGCUUCCAACUUGCAGGCCACACUCUGCAGCCCCGUUCCUGACCAAGCUGGUGCUUCUGCGUGUGUUCCUGCAUGACUUGGUGUGUCCCCUUCUCUUGGAUCUGUCAGCCUGCACACAGGCCUGUGCUCUUCAAGACCACGCAGGCCUCACCAUUCCCUCUGACAGCUCACUGCUGCCCUUCUUCACACACGCAAG
rnacentral:lncRNA from 1 species